CCUACGGGUGGCAGCAGUGGGGAAUAUUGCGCAAUGGGGGAAACCCUGACGCAGCAACGCCGCGUGAGUGAAGAAGUAUCUCGGUAUGUAAAGCUCUAUCAGCGGGGAAGAAGGAAGACGGUACCCGACUAAGAAGCCCCGGCUAACUACGUGCCAGCAGCCGCGGUAAUACGUAGGGGGCGAGCGUUAUCCGGAUUUACUGGGUGUAAAGGGAGCGUAGACGGCGGCGCAAGUCUGAAGUGAAAGCCCGUGACUCAACCGCGGAACCGCUUUGGAAACUGCGAGGCUGGAGUGCUGGAGAGGUAAGCGGAAUUCCUGGUGUAGCGGUGAAAUGCGUAGAUAUCAGGAGGAACACCGAUUGCGAAGGCAGCAUACCGGCGGCGAUCUGACGCUGAGGCACGAAAGCGUGGGUAUCGAACAGGAUUAGAUACCCUGAUAGUC
rnacentral:rRNA from 1 species